CAACCUCCUCUGGUGAACUUUCCUGACCUCCUUAGACUUGCUCUGCAUAGCCAUUCUCUAUAAAGUUAAUUGGUCAGUAAAUUACCCCAAUGUGAGCGUAACCUUAGUUUCACCUACGUAAGAUAGAAGAAGUCACCAUAUAUCUCUUUGCCUCCUGGAACCCUGACCCCACCAGGUGUCCCUUAUCGCCAUUCGGCUGCAUUCCUAGGUAUCAUCAAGGCAGUUCCUGCAAUCUUGUGUGGCCCUCCCUUUUGGCAAUAGGAGGCUUUUUGAUACUCCCUGUGUUCCUAAAUCAACUGAUUGUAAAAUCACUUAACUUGUAUCAACUGUUUACUCUAUACCACUGUCUGCUCUACGCAAUGAUUGAUUUUCUUUGUUUAAACGUGUAUAAAAACCCCAACCCAAGACUAUUCGAGGCCGCUCGCCUGUACUGGGACGGGGGCCCCGACAUGUCGGAACAUCAAUAAACUUUACCCUUUGUUAAUUACAUGAGAGAAGGUCUCUUGGAGCGUUUUUGGGGUGGCAAGAGCAAUUCAACUCUAAUUCGACUGUAACAUAUGGAGGUUCCACCGAGAUGGCUCUGCUGCCCACGGACAUCUCCAAUGGACAUCUCUCGGGGUAAGUAAAGGCGCCUAAAGGAUAGGGACUCUGUGCACGUGCAUUUCUGUUUCUGUAUCUGGUUCAGGCCUGAAGCGGUUUCGGGCUGGCACGGUAGACGUUGGGCUGGCAGACGUGCCCGGAAGCCACAACGCUACAGCCUCGAGGGACGCCUCGGGAGGACCGGGAGACUGAGGACGCUCAGCGAAACUCCCAUCUGGAAUUCCCGCGGUCGGGAAUUUGGUGCCAGCAUCAGUAUUCAUCCUUUCUCUUUCAGGUUUUACUUCUAUUGCAUAAACUGUUUUCAGACUCACAUUUUUAUUGCCGGCAUUGUCACAGGGCUCUGAUGCGGUUCCAGAGUCUGUGUUUGUCUGUUUGUGUGUGGCAUUGUCGCAAGACUCUGAAGUGGUCCCAGAGUCUGCAUUUGUAGGUUCUGAAGUGGUUCCGGAACUUGCAUUUGUAUUGCGGGCAUUGUCACAGGGCUCUGAUGCGGUUCCAGAGUCUGUGUUUGUAGGUCUUUGUGUGUUGCAUUGUUGCGAGACUCUGAAGUGGUCCCAGAGUCUGCAUUUGCAGGUUCUGAAGUGGUUCCGGAACUUGCAUUCGUAUCUGUGUCUGUGUGUCAGUGUGGUUCUCGGACCCCAUCUGGAACUCUGUAGGGGGCCAGGCUCCCCACCUCUGUAGGAACGAAGCGGGUCGCUUCCCAGGCGUGAGGCCGAUGUUCCAUUUUUGUCUUUUUUGUUUUGUUCAGUGCCUUUUUGUGAGUCUCUUUGGUGUUUGUUUUUGGCUAUUUGUAUUUGCCUUUCUGAAAUUCAGACAAUGGGACGGAUUUAGACAACUCUUAGAAAGGGAGACUAACCACCCUUUGUUCUGCAGAUUGGCCUACCUUUGAAGUAGGGUGGGCGCCUAAGGGCACCCUUGACAUCCUGGUCUGGCAAGAUCUGGUAAAAACUCCCUUUCCUGGUUAAAGCCUCUUUUACUCCCUCAGAAACAACCUUAAAAAAAAGAUUUUAGUCGUCCAGGACCGUCCCAGCAAAGCAGAUAAAACAAACUAAGACUUCAGCCUCGGCGCCGCUCUAUUCUGUUUUACAGGGCGACUCUGAAGAUUUGAUUUUCCCUCCUCCCUACCAGCCGCCCGGCCCUGGCUGUGGGGCCGGCAGAGGGGGCCACAGGAGAGGGUACCAGAAGCAGCUCCCCAGGGGCCAGCAGAUCCCUCCACUCCCCCUUCACAGGCAGCAGGGAAAUCCCUGCUGUGCCAUUAGCAAGUGCUGAAACCCCCUGUGUGUUCAAACAAAGCUGGCCCUUUGAGCCUCAACCUGCAGGACUCAGCUGGGGCCCAGGAAUGGCAGGCGGAGGAUGGGAAGGCGCGCCUCCUGACUUAUUCCUCAGGACCCUAACUCCCCGAGCCAUACCCGUCCCCCCAGACUGACUCCCCAUGGCCGACCAAAUGGGGCAAAUGGAUGGAUCUCCUGGACUUCAGGACCCGACUAAAAGCUGUUAAACUCCAAAUGGUCAUCAGGCAAGGCUUCCAGCCCAUUCCACUGGACUACCUGAGCAGCCCUCUGGACCGACUGGCACCGUCUUUCCAAGGCCACUGUUGCACACCAUAAGACAGGUAGCAAGAGGAAAUACCCAAACCCCCCUCGACGCCCACAUGCCAGCUUCGAAGAAGUUACAGAAAACGGAACUCCAUCCAUAAUCCCAAGGAAGAAUUUUGGGUAUUACCUCUUGAGGGGAAAAUAUUAGAAAGUCAGUUAUGAGCUUAUGUGUGUGUGACAUAAAGGCCUAAUGUGUCCAGCAUAUGCAUCUGCACCUCAGUCAUCCUGACAAUGUUUCACUGGAAGCCUGGCCUUUGCAUCCUGCCCUGCCCCCUUCUACCUGAUGGCCUGCCAGGUGGAGAUCCCCACCCCUUCUGCCUGACAAAUCUUCCACAACCUCCCAGAUACAGCCCAGUAUCUGCAUUUCAGUAUUGCAGAAUAGGCGGGGGUUGAAUCUCAUUUUCAUAGAGGAGGGGGGGGUUAUGCGCAGCCCUUAAGGAGGAAUGCUGCUUCUAUGUAGACAAGACAGGGGUGGCGAGGGACAACAUGGCUCAACUAUGUAAACGCUUAGAGAAAAGACAGUGGGACAGACUUCAGCAACAGGGAUGAUUUGAGUUGUGGUUCACUAAGUCUCCCUAGCUGAAAAUGUUAAACUCAUGGUAAUUCAUCAACAAUAUGUAACACACGGAGAAGGGGAAACAGAUGGUCUCUAAGAUUAGAGACCCUGGCCUAAGAGGAGUGGGGAAUGAAGGGUUAAAAAGUUAAAAGCCGCUCCCCCCCAACCUCCUCUGGUGAACUUUCCUGACCUCCUUAGACUUGCUCUGCAUAGCCAUUCUCUAUAAAGUUAAUUGGUCAGUAAAUUACCCCAAUGUGAGCAUAACCUUAGUUUCACCUAAGUAAGAUAGAAGAAGUCACCAUAUAUCUCUUUGCCUCCUGGAACCCUGACCCCACCAGGUGUCCCUUAUCGCCAUUCGGCUGCAUUCCUAGGUAUCAUCAAGGCAGUUCCUGCAAUCUUGUGUGGCCCUCCCUUUUGGCAAUAGGAGGCUUUUUGAUACUCCCUGUGUUCCUAAAUCAACUGAUUGUAAAAUCACUUAACUUGUAUCAACUGUUUACUCUAUACCACUGUCUGCUCUACGCAAUGAUUGAUUUUCUUUGUUUAAACGUGUAUAAAAACCCCAACCCAAGACUAUUCGAGGCCGCUCGCCUGUACUGGGACGGGGGCCCCGACAUGUCGGAACAUCAAUAAACUUUACCCUUUGUUAAUUACAUGAGAGAA